GAUUAAUACCUUGCACACUGUGAACACGUAGCAGUUGAUUAAUAACCUGCACACUGUGGACACAAGGCAGUGCAGGGUUGGAACAGGUGGGAGGGGGAGUAAUAUUACACAUGCAGUAGGUCAGAGUAUCAUUAGCUAAAUAGUUAUAUGAAGGAAGAGCAGAGGAAAAUUGCAGAUUUUGAGGAAGGGGGUUUGAGGAGAGCAGUGGAAUAGCUGAAACAGGUGGACAGGGGUGGCGAUUGCGGAACCUUUUAACUCUUGGCCCAGAGAUGAUGUCUGCGGGGCCAGUGCGUUUGAACUUUUGGGAAAAUGUAGAAUUUAGGAAUGCAAACUCCCAUACAUGUGAAGUUAGAGGUCAUAUGAAAGUUCAUGUCUUAAUUUAAAAGGUUGAAGUUAAAUGUUGUUCCCCCAAAAAUAACCCGCUAACUAAAAGUGUAUGGAAAUGGGGAUUGAAUUCCACCACAUAUUCACACCAAUUUUAGCCCAUAAAACAAAGUGCGUUAUUUUGUAAAUGAGAAAUAAUUUGAGAUGCCAUAAGUAUGUAUCCUGGCCACACCACACAACCCCCCAGACAAGGUUUACAGUGGUCAAAAGGUUGGGGAUUUCCCAUAUCUUCUGUUUCUGACUAUUUGUUUAUGUAUUUCUGAUGUAACAUUUGGGAAAAUAUAGUAAACAUAUUUUUUUUACCUUUAUUUAACUAAGUAAGUAAAGUAAGAACGACUCUGGGCCAAUAGGGCACCUCACCAAUCACGGCCAGAUGUGAUACAGCCUGGAUUCUAACUAGAGAUUGUAGUGACACCUCUUGCACUGAGAUGCAGUGCCUUAGACAGCUGCACCACUCGGGAGCCAACACUUCUGGCUUUUACUCAAAAAGGAGGUGUGAGAGGAAAGUUCAAGAAUAAAACAUCCUAUCAAGAUUACAUCAUUAAAACCAAAGAAUAUGUCAAUGACGGUUUCAAUGAUCUGUGCCCUAUUAAACAAACACACAAUACCCAGGCCAGCGACCUCCCUAAAAAAGGGCUCUACUGCAGGUCAGCAUGGGGCAUAUUAGGCUGUGAAAACAAAAUGACUGACUGCAGCCUCUAUUCAACCACAGCAGUGUGUUGUGGCUCGCCAUUUGCUCUAAACAUGUUGACAAUAAUGUUAGCUCAAUGCUCACACAAACCUAAAUGGCCAGAUAAUAUGUGUUGUUGUUGUAGUACUCAUCGUUCAGCACUUAAAACACCCAGUAAUUCACCUUAUCUUCAGCACCUCUCACUAGCGGUGAAUCGAAUGGUCAUCUAUGGCUGCUUCAGGUUAUGGCAAAAGAUAAGCCUGUAGUUCCUCAUUGACAGACCACGAAUCCUGAUCAGGACUUCAGUAGCUAAGCUGCAGAGGAGAAAGGAGAGAGAGUGUUUGAAAGAAGCUGCUUACUUAGUUAGAUCAAAGUUUUUAUAUUAUAUUGACAAGAUAGUUGAGUGGCCUCUCAAACAAUGGAAAUACAUAUCCUCAAGAUGGAAGGCAAGAUUAGGUGGGACCAUUCUAGGCUGUCUAGAUGGGAUACAAUUUAUGUUAGAAUUGACCUUUCGUAUCAGGUUAGGAGAACUUACGCAGCAGGUUAGGAGAAUUAGGGUAAGCGUACCUACGAAGCCCACUUCUUUCUUUGGAUUUUUUUUUAUUUUUAACUAAAAAUAAAUUUCCUGCUGUUUAAUGAUGCGACUAAUUCAUCUGGUUGUUAUAUCCAUACAUUUUCCGGUUCUAAACCAGUCCAAUGUUUUAUUAUUAAAUGAUUAACAAUGUGUAAGGUCACACUAGUGGCGAAUUUCAAAGUUGCAAAAAAAAACGUUGGUGUUGAAGCAAGGGUUGGAACGGAAAUGAUUUUCCAAUCGUUUCAUUCUGGACAGAAUCACAAUGUUUUUCUGUUCGGACCAGCAAAAUAAUGUCCUGAACCGAUUCGAACCCCAAAAAAUACUGGAUUAUAUCGUUCCUUUCUGUUCCUUUUUUAACCUGUGAAAUCAACCGUGUUUUACAUUUAGCUCAUUAAAAAUGACUUCGCCAAUCAGCGCGGAUAGAGCAGGCAAGCUAGUUGUUUACACGCGUGAUGUACAGACAACUGUAGUUUACAUCGCAAGAUGCGACUGAUAUUUUGUGGGUGGGGAGAGAGAGAGAGCAAGAGAGAGUUGAGGAGGAGUCUUGAAGCGCUGGGCAUCUUGUUAUGACAUGCAUGAUCUGAUUUAGGUCCAAGGAAUUGUACCUAGGAGGAGCGGCUUCUAUGGAGGAACUUUGAAUGUAUUUUGAGCUAGCUAGCUAACACGCUUGUGUGUGCAGAGCAGCACCAGAAUUAAAAACACGUCUUACCUUUUUGUAGUUUAUAAAUCCAAUGUGAAAUGUGAUAACUAGCAUUGAAAAAGUUGAUCCAUUCUUAUUUAGUUAUUUUAUGGUUUUCGGUUCUGUUACCUGAACUGGUUUCAACCACAGAUACAAUGUUUACAGUUACACAUUGUUUUACAAAUAUACAGUAUGUGUAACGGAUGUGUAACGGAUGUGAUCCGUUACAUAUGCAUCAUAAAUCAUUUCACCACAUGAGAGCAAUGGUGAACAAAGCCUUAAUAUUAACAUAUGUUUAAUCUCGGUUACCCAGAAGUAGAAUUCUCUCAUGAAAGUUUGUAAUUUCCUGUAACGAGAAUCUGUCCACGAGAGAUUAACACAGAUUUAAAGGGAUUUUUCUGUUGACUAUAAACAAUAGCUAAUGUGGAAAUGUUUUUUCCUUAUUAACAAAGUUUUAAAACAAUAAAAAUAGAAUGAAUAGCGUGUUAUGAUUCAGCAACUAUUUUGAUUCAAAUAUAAUCAAUUCACAUUUCCU
ensembl:lncRNA